rnacentral:lncRNA from 1 species
CCCAAUCUCUGUCUUUUUUUUCCCGCCCCGAAGCAUGAAGCUAGCUCUUUGAUCCUUCAAAACCCCAAAAAACUUAUUCUCUCCCUUUCAUUUCUUAACCUAUCCUCUCCUUUAAUCCUAAUUCUCUCCUCUUUCAAAUCCUAGCCUCUGAAUUUUCUUCAAUCUUCCGUCUUGGAUCCGGAAUUGGCUCCUCGUGAGAGUUCUCUCCUCCGUUUUUAUCUCUAAGAGAUCAUUUUACCAAAAACAAUGUUCCCUGAAACGACACAGAGAACAGGACAGCUUGAAACAGAAUCGAAACCCCGUAAUUGGGACUACAUUGAGUCGCC